CAUGUAGGCGGCCUAUCAAGCGUUGUGUGAAAUCCCUCGGCUCAACCGAGGAACUGCAUGGCGAACUGAUAGGCUUGAGGCAAGUAGGGGCGAGUGGAACUCUUGGUGGAGCGGUGGAAUGCGUAGAUAUCAAGAGGAACGUCGGAGGCGAAGGCGACUCGCUGGGCUUGACCUGACGCUGAGAUGCGAAAGCUAGGGUAGCGAACAGGAUUAGAUACCCUGGUAGUCC
rnacentral:rRNA from 1 species